CGAGCACGCGCGUGUGGCAUAUCAAUAAGCGGAGGAAAAGAAACUAACAAGGAUUCCCUUAGUAACGGCGAGUGAAGCGGGAAGAGCUCAAAUUUGAAAUCUUCAAGGUUCUACCUUGACGAAUUGUAGUUUAUAGAAGUGUUUUCUGUUAGUAGAGUGGCAAAAGUUCUUUGGAAUAGGACAUCAUAGAGGGUGAGAAUCCCGUAUUUGGUCAUUCCUCCUAGCUUUGUGAUACACUUUCAACGAGUCGGAUUGUUUGGGAAUGCAGUCCAAAAUGGCGUGGUAAAUUUCAUCUAAAGCUAAAUAUUGGCGAGAGACCGAUAGCGAACAAGUACCGUGAGGGAAAGAUGAAAAGAACUUUGAAAAGAGAGUUAAACAGUACGUGAAAUUGUCAAAAGGGAAGCGUUUGACACCAGUGUUGUUUUUCCGAAAAUCAAUUACGAAUGUUUUGUUUUUGAGGAGUUAUGACUUCAUCGGCUUGCUCCUUUCUUUACGAAACUUUCUUAAUGCACUUUUCGGUUAACAAGUCAACAUCAAUUUCUUUUGUUGUAAAAGGAUAUGAGGAAGGUGGCUUUCUUUUCGGAGAAAGUGUUUAUAGCCUUGUGCCUCUACAAUCGGAGAGAUUGAGGUCUGCAGCGUAGAUCCUUCGGGGUUAGAUACAUUUGUGCUAAGUUAUAGCUUUUCAUAGACAACUUGUUGACUAUGUUAAGUCUUGUAGCUUACUCGCUUAUGCUAUUUUACCUACGCUUAGGAUGUUGAGUAGCGACAUACGCAC
rnacentral:rRNA from 1 species